rnacentral:lncRNA from 1 species
AGAUGCCAGUUAACUGUCGAGAGGGGACGCUCCCUCCUCGUAGGCGUCCACACUGGAGAAGGAAUAAGAUGGGCGAUUGCCUGGGAAGCCUGACAGGGCGGCGGCAGCUGGGAUGCUGGAGAGGACUGGCCCCUUGAGUUACUGAGUCCGAUGAAUGUGCUUGCUCUGCUGGAGGAACCGCGCUCAGGUUACAGUCAUCCCAAUAUGGUUCUGAAGACAUCCAAGUGGAGAUAUGGCAUUUAAAUUCAUGAGAUUGGAUGAGAUCCCACCAAAGGAACAGGUUUAGGUGGAGACAACCAAAUACCGAUGCCUAGGACACUGCAGUGUUUAGAAUUCAAGGAGAUGAGAAGGAAACAGGAGGGAAGAUUGAAAAGAAGAGUCCAGUGUGUUAUGAGGAAAACCCCAAGAGCAUGCUGCCUUACAAGACAGAUCACUUUUAAAAGGAAAACAUAGGAGCCUGAAACAGAAGUGGGAAACAAAUAUUUACUCAAACUAAGAGACUAAACUCAGUAGCCAGCAACAAGAGAUCAAGGUGUGUGUGUGUUUUCUGGUUG